AAAAGAUCAUGCUCCAUUUUUAGAUUUGUUAUUCAAAAAGAAGCACCAUCUCUCUCUCUCUCUCUCUCUCUCUCUCUCUCUCUUUCACACACAAACACACGCCCACACACUCUCUCUCUCUCUCUCAACUUCAAACUGAUUUCAAAAUUUGAUCUUCAUCUCCCUAAAAAAAUGUUAAAAUGGAGUUGCACCCAUUUUAUAGGAUUUCGACCAUAAUCAUACAAGCAGAGAAAGCUUCAGGUUCUUCCACAUAAACGUCCUGUUACAUUAAAAGGGAAAAAAGCCAUCUACAACCAAACUGGAAAAUGUGUUAAAGGGAAACUAAUAAUUAUUUAAUCUCAAAUUAUUACAUUAAUUUGUAUCAUUUUUGUUUACGGGUAUCUUUGUAACAAUACGGAAAUGUUUUGUUUUAUGUAUGAUACUACAUAUCUAAUUACUUGGUUAUAUAAAGAAAAUUUUGGGCUA